UACGUAGGGGGCAAGCGUUAUCCGGAUUUACUGGGUGUAAAGGGGGCGCAGACGGCGAUGCAAGCCAGGAGUGAAAGCCCGGGGCCCAACCCCGGGACUGCUCUUGGAACUGCGUGGCUGGAGUGCAGGAGGGGCAGGCGGAAUUCCUGGUGUAGCGGUGAAAUGCGUAGAUAUCAGGAGGAACACCGGUGGCGAAGGCGGCUUUCUGGACUGAAACUGACGCUGAGGCACGAAAGCGUGGGGAGCGAACAGG
rnacentral:rRNA from 1 species